ACCCCACGUCUGUCAUUUAAACUGAUCAUCUGAUCUGUGAUCUAAGGAGCUGGACCAGGACAAACAUCUCAGUGUCAGCACCACCAUGAGACUCGCCGCCUUGCUGCUCCUGCUGUGCCUGUGCUCUGCUGCGAUGGCUUUGCCAUCUCAAUCUCCAACCAUGCCAGCAAUUAAGUUAUCUACUUUGGGAAAGGAGCACCCAAAACCUAAGCGGGGACACAUGAGAGUAUCAGGAUUUACAGGAGCAUUGUGGAGAAGAAUAGGAGGAAAAAUGAGAUUUGGAUGAUCUUUCAGGACUUGGUAAAUUGGCCAAAAGGACCAAACCAGACCAAUCGUUGCCAAGAACAAAGAAGUCAAAGAAUGUCUAUUAGUUUAAAAUAAAACCAAACACAUUGCA